GGUGAAGUCACAAAGAAAUCCAUCCAUCCAUCCAUCCAUCCACGUGUAAGAAACAGCCGACCAGCUAGAACAAAGAAAAGGAAAUCGCUUUGUUGAUGGCUCCGUGCUCAAGAAUAUUUUUGAAGGGGCGGAGCUAAAUCUUGGGACUUCUGGCAAUUCUUGAAGUGAUGAUACUGGUGGCAAUAGUGGCGGAGCUGAUGGAGGAGUACAUGGCGUUUCUGACUAGGGUUUUGGAACAUGUGUUUAAUGAUGCACCUUUUCCAAGAAGGGUUCGUUUUCUCAUUCUACGUAAUCUUCCUUUUGCUUCCUCUUCUCAUCAUCGUCCUCCUCUACAUAGAGCUAGCUCCUAGACUUCACUGAAAUUGUUUACAGGGAGUUCUCCUCUCCCACCGCAACCACCCACCUCUUUGUUUAUGCUUAAUUCCUUCGUUUUUCUUUUUCUUUUUCUUUGCGGUUUUAUCUCCUUUUGUUAAUAGUUUGAGAGUUAAUUAACUUAGCUUUUGUUUGAGUUUUUGUAUGAUAAUUAGUGGUUCUCUUCUGUAAUUUGAGUGCUCUUAGUUUUCGGGUUUGGUAUGGUUUUUUAUUUUUUUAAUCUUAAUACAUUCUAUUAUGUUUGGAUUAAUUAAUUAGAUUUUGUUUGAAA